rnacentral:lncRNA from 1 species
CAAAAGGUUGGAUUUUUACAUUUUGCUUUCGUGGAAAGUUUUUACCUUGGAUGCAGAGGGGCUGGACUUGAGAGAAAAAAGAUUUCACAAAACCUUUUUCUGAUAUCCACAACAACUGAACAUGUAAGCCACUGGAAUCAACAGAUCAUUACUCCUUGGUUGGGAGGAAGGAAAGGAGGGGUACGUUUUUGAACUUUACUUUGGUUGGAAGUUCAUAAUAAAAAGAAAAAAGGGUAGAAAUUAAGGAAGAACCCUCUGUCAUAAACCCCAUUUUUGCUCUCGCCCAAAUUGAGAGGAAAGCAAAGGAGGGUCGGUACUACUAUGAAACUUAAAAUAUUCUGAUUAUACCCUCAAAAUAAAAAGGAGAAAAUUAUAAUUCAUAAGGGUAUUCUUCUAACAUGGUUCAUAAAUGCUCAUUUUCAUUUAUUUUCUUUAACCUCACAACCAAAAGUAAGGAAAAUAUAACAUUCUUCCUUUCAUAUCUUUCCUAUCAAAGGAUUAGUUUUUGUUCCUUUCUUUUCUCCAAAACACAGAUGUUCUUAAAUGCCUUUUACCAGAAAUUCUGUUGCAUCUUAUUUUAUGCAUUAAUUAUGGGCUUUAUAUACCAAUUCUAUUUUAUAAAUCUGUUAAUUUGGUACGUCCAGCUUACUACUGAAACUAGAAAUUUGAAUUUAGUGAACCCAACUUGUAUGUUAGCCUGCUCGCUCCAAAUGGCAGGAUAAUAACAAAAUAUCGGCUUAUUUUCAGUGAUAUUUUUGUAGGACCUGAUACCAUUGAAGCUCGUGCCAGAGCCACCAUAUCUAAAAUUUAAGGUGCUGGGGAAGAUAGUAGAGAACUUUCUUUUCCCUGUAUUUUAUUGAUUUUGAAUUUUCUGUAUAGAUUUGAGAAAUUUUAGUUAACCAUGUGAAUUUUUUUCACAUAAUUUUUUCAAGCAUUAUAUGAAUAAUGUAUCAUGAUAGUAAUAUUAAUUUUAGACUGGCAUAGAAAAUGUUGCUGGUAACACAACUUACUGUAACCCAACAAGAGGAAAGUUGUUGGAUAAUAAGUGCAUAGUAUCUAUCUGAAAUUGACAUUAAUAAUUCCAAAAUUUUCUUCAGUUUCAUGUUAACCAGACAUUGGGUGGUGGAAAUUGUUACAGAAUAUGCACAGGCUCCAUUGAGAGUAAGUUUAGAAACUUGUUUGAUGUACAGACACUGAAGCAGGGGGGAUGAAACUGUAGUAUUUUAAGAUUAGGUAUGUACUGAGAGAAGUAUGGUGUACAGAAUCAUGGAGAAGCUUAUAUUUAGCAUGAGAAUAAUAAGAAUACAUCAAUUACACCAUAAGCGCAGCACCACUCAU